rnacentral:rRNA from 1 species
UACAGGGGGUGCAAACGUUGCUCGGAAUCAUUGGGCGUAAAGCGCACGUAGGCGGUCUGUUAUGUCGGGUGUGAAAGCCCUUGGCUCAACUGAGGAAGUGCAUCCGAAACUGGCAGGCUAGAGUACUAAAGAGGAUAGCGGAAUUCCCGGUGUAGAGGUGAAAUUCGUAGAUAUCGGGAGGAACACCGGUGGCGAAGGCGGCGAUCUGGGUAGAUACUGACGCUGAGGUGCGAAAGCGUGGGGAGCAAACAGG